UGUAUUUCGCCUGACAACAAGAAGCAGCUUAAAAAAAUUUCAGAUUUUUGUUUACUUAGUACUAUGUUGCAUUGACAGAAUAUGGCAGAAGCUACAGAUGGGAAAAUCAGCAAACAGCUUCUUAAGACUAGAAGUGGGGAGUUUGAUGUAGAGAGUAUACAUUCACUUUGUCUCCGAGAGGCUGGUAUAGAUGAUCUGGGAUGUAUUAGUGAGUGUCUUAGUUUGGAGAGGUUGGAUUUGUCGAGAAACAUCAUUUCAAAACUGCACAAACUAGCUGGACUCACAAACCUGCAUACCCUGAACCUGUCCGGGAAUAACAUCACAUCUCUAGAAGGUCUGCAAGCUUUGGAUAAUCUGAAAACCCUGAACCUGGCAGGAAAUUUAAUCGGAAGUCUUGAAUCUCUGCGAUGUCUGACCGGGUUAGAAAAUCUGCAGGAACUGAGACUCAAGGAUGUCAUCCACAGCCUGUCGAACCCCGUGUGUCAGAACGUCGACUACCGCGCUGAAAUGAUCUCAAUGUUCCCCAAUCUCAGUGUUCUAGAUGGAGAGAGGUUAAAAGGAAAGGGGAGUGAACUCUAUGCCAUGUGCCGGGAACUGGACAGAGCUUUAGAAGCUUGUGAUGAUGAACCAUCAAUAGUUGCUCCAGCAACCAAGUGGUUCUCAGAUGAUGUUUUGACUCUACAGAUACCAAGAAAAUUUCAGCAGUCAAAUCUGUAUGAUGCCGAGGAACAGUUGAAAGGUGACACAGAUUUUGCCGUACAGUGACUGGCAUGGCGAAGUCAGGCUGGUCAGAGCGAAGUGAGCCCUGCCAUGAUGCAGACUGUAAACCCUCCCAGAUUCCGCAGGAGACUCCUGGUAUUUGAUCAAGUCUCCCACAGGCCUACUUGCUGGCUGCAGAAGAACGAGCGAAGAGGCAGAUGCCAGACUUGUACAGCUACAGUCUGAAUUCAAGUCAUGACCAUCAGAGAAAUUCAAACCAUGUCCAAAGAUUAUUACAAAACAACAAAAAUAGCCCUUAAUGUUUGACAUUUAAUGGUUUGGAGGAAAUAAAACACUCAUGAUACUUGAUUAGUUUUGCUUCAUAUAGAAAUAGAUGUAACGCCUAGACAGUUCAGAGUGUGGGAAAAAAGCAAGGAACGAAAAACCACAAGAUGUUUUUAUUGAUGUCUGAGAACAUGUCCUCCAGGAAUGUUUUUAAUUAUGGGGUUUUUUCCCCUCUCAUUCCACUUCAUCCAUUCAUUUCUCUACUUUGAAUUAUAUAUUUUUAUCCUCAUCUGGCAGCUCCUAUUUCUAUUUUCAGUGUCCAACUUCACAUUCCAGUCCUUGUCUCCAACUACAUUAGAUGGUUGUCUCAUAUGGCCAUCCGUACGACAAACCUGCCAAUACUUAAUUUAAGACAAAAUAUUAAUGCUGGGCUAAAAGUGUAAAUUGGUUGAAGGUGCUGUGCAGUAAUUUGGAGGGGUGGGUAGUUGCUCCUGGUACUGUAAAGGUGUCUGCCCAUCACUAUAGAAACAGAUUUCACCACAUAACCAAUCUAUCCAAGCAGCCACCUCUUUUAUUGUGUUUUCUUGUGAAUUCUCACCCCUGUAACUUUUCUUCUUCAACUCGCUCCAGCCAGUGCACCAUGACUGACAUCUCAAAGACUGUGGUAUGUGCUAUCCUGUUUUCGGAAUGGUGCAUAUAAAAGAUCCCUUGCUACUAAUGGAAAAAUGUGGUGGGUUUCCUUUCUUCGACUACCAAAUGUUUGACAUCCAACAGCUGAUGAUUAAUAAAUCAGUGCUUUAGUGGUGUUAUUAAACAAAACUUUUAUAUAUUUCUUUAAGGGGCAUUUGACAUAGUGAUAAUAAGAUGGGAGAAGAAAGCUCCAGAUACUCGUCUAUUUAUUUAAGCAUAAUAUACAUUAAAUUAUUGACUAACAAGUGUUUGUGGUAAAUCUUUUUAUAUUUAAUUGUGUAUUGAACCAGAAAUGUGCAAGCAGAAUAAAAUGUGAGAAAGAAUGAAA